rnacentral:lncRNA from 1 species
CCUCAUUUUGAUUGUCUCUAUCUGGAGAAAUAUAUAAUAAACACAAAUAUUUUAAAGUGAAAAUAGUACGCCAAAUACUGCUUUAAGAAGGAGCUGUAAUAUAUUCUUUACAUGUCAUUUCAGAGGUGGGAUUCACAGCAGUUUUCAAAUAGCUGAAUGAGAACUGUCAUGUAGCACAAGCAGCAUUUCUCAUGUGUGCUACCCAUGCUUCAAUUAAAAGCAAAAUAACAAAAAAAAAGAAAUCCACAAACACCUCAAAACUGUGAAUAACUUUGAAGUCAGUUAUUAUUUCUGCUGUCACCAUCUGAAUAUUCUAUUUUUUCCUCCUUUCCCGUUGUCCGUUGUCACUGCUGGCAAGAAACCGGGAGAGCUAAAGAAAGCAGAACUAAGACAGAUAAAAGGGUCAGUUUGCUGAGACAAAAGAUGAUAUCACGUCGAGACAAAUUACAGAGGUGCUGUGUCUAAAUGUGUUGAAGCAAUAACUGCUAUACAACAGCCAUAUCAGCAGGGCUGCUCUGUGCCUCUUGCUUACGCAUGCUGCAUGUAAACGAGGGCCUUCAGCCCAGGCGCUGCAAUUCAGGUCACACACACACGCAGCUCCCCGGCAGUUCCGGAGACAGCUAGCUACUGGGCCACCUGCAGGCCAUCCUCCUCAGCCACAGAGAGAGCUGAAAAGGAAGUCAUUGGAAGUGACAGGGAGCCCGAAACCUGCGGGCACAGCCCCAGCCUGACAGGCACGCUGACCUCGCAGUAAUGGGCCCGCAGCCCUGCGCAUCCCACCCAGCUCACCCGCCCCGCCACCCUGCUGGCCUCAGUGCCGUCACACACCCUGUCCUUCUGGGAGCUGAGGGGUGAUGGGAAGGCAAUUUUAUUCUAAGAGCAGCCAGGCAAAAAGGAGGAGCUUUCUGGCACAUCUGGCAGGAUGUACAUCGGGUCUUGCAAAACUGCUAACCAACUGAGCAACGUGACAGACCAAUCAUUUUCUCAUUCUUGAAGAAUGAGAAAGUCAGUGCCAAUAGGAAGGAGCAGAAGUUUCUACAUUACUAGUAGAGUUCAGUGCAAGGUACAGUCUUCACUUGCAAUGAAGACUUGUACCCAGUUGACCAUUAAGAGCUUAACUCUUGUAAAGGGUGUGAUAGGUGAGUAUCCACGCACUCAGCAUCUUUAAGUGCUCUCAAUUACUCAGACAUGAAACUGACUCCCCAGGAGCUGGUCACAGCACCAGGCUGCCAGAGUUCAAGAAGCAUCUGGGCAACACUCUCAUUCUUAUGGUCUGUUUUUUAGGUGGUCCAAAGUUGGACUUGAUGAUCCUUAUGGGUUCCUUCUAACUCAGGGUAGUCUAUGAUUCUGUGAAUUAAAAUUUUGUUUGUUUUACAUGAACAUUUGAAAAGUAAAAGUACAAAACCUAGUACCGUACUUUCUCUUUCUGAAAGCAAACUCAUACCAAUAACAAAGGGGGACAAUCUCGCGUCAAGGGCAAGUUUCACACUGAUUUCA